rnacentral:lncRNA from 1 species
GCGGUUAUGCAGUUAUGUGGAGCGAAUAGGUAGGGAUUUGUCGUGUGUGCGCUCCUUAGGCACCGCGCAGGUAGUUGGUUUUUUCGUCGCUUGGUGUUAACCUGCGUUUGGUUUCUCGUGAUUUCGGAGCGGUUUUCACUUGCUUGGUAUCCGGUGGUACCGCUGGUUCCAACCCCGCUGGUUUUGGGACUUAAUUCGAGUAGUACCUUUGGCGCGGAAUAGGUCCCGGUUUCUCGCUGGAUCUGCAAUCCGUUGCGACAUCCCCGGUCUUUGAUUACCUGUUGGUAUCGCAGCUGUCGCUCGCCGGCCUAGGGUUGGUCCAUUCCGCAUGUCUUUGCCGGUUGCCAGGUUACCUUGUCCCAGGGUUGGUGCUACGACCUGGCUGUUUUGCAUCGCUGUGUUUGUGCGUUUUCUGUGUCGCGGUAGGCUGGGGCUCUUUAUGACUCCGUUUAUGUCGGGCUCCUGUGAGGUCAGUUCCUAGCUGCCAAGAGUUUUAUCCAAGCCCGUGCUGCUCAGCCUGAUUUUCAGUGCCGUGAACUCCGUGAGCUCCGUGUAUGUCUUGCUCGGUUAACCAAGAGCGCCCUGUGCUGGAGACAGCCCCUGCUGGCGGCGUUAUUUAUAGUAGUUGGGUGCAUUCGCAGUGCUCCGUGGCUCUGUCGGACUCUCUUUGUGUUGGCCUUUAUUGCAGGUGCUGUGUGGAUUCUUUGAGCAGUUGGCCGGUGUACCUGUUGGUUCGGAGGUGGCCCCGACCUUGCUUUGUUGUGCUGGGUUUCGUCAUCCGUAUCCCUGCUGUCAGUGCCCUGGGCGCGUGGACCGGUCGUUAUUGCAGAGCCGGUUUUCAGUGCCAGCCCUAGUUGGCCGUUUAGUCAACCCUUAGCGGGCACAUGUUUGGCAUUCUCGCGUGUCUUUCGUCCAUUCCUUCAGUGGGCGUCCGUCAGCGUUUGUUGAGGGAUCCGUCGCGUUUGUGGCCGGUGGGUCAGUCUGUGCGCGGUUGGAGAGCGCUGGUUUGACCUCGUCCUUGUGGUUUUGGCAGCGUUCUGUUUGUUCGCUCUUUUGCCUGUGUAGAGAUGGCGUGUCCGCCGUCCUUGCUGCUGGAGUAUCGUUUGGAGGUCGUUGAGGCGUUUUGCUUGGGGAGCUUUAUUUCGUGUCGGUGUGUGUGCCUGUCUGGCAGCUCUCGCGUCCUUUGUCCCUCUAGCGGCCCGUCGCGUUGCGCUGUUUUGGUGUUUUGGUGCUGCUUUGUUUGUUAUUUCCGCUAGAGGGGGUAUCUUCUCCUUUGGCAUUUACCUAUGGAGCAACAACUAAUGCGAGCUUGCGUAAGUAAGCUGGGUUAGUUGGGCGUAAGGCCCAAUGCGUAACUGUUAGACUAACUGUUUCGCAACGGCCCGUGUCCUCAGGGCCGUCAUUUAUUGCGCGCAUUAAGCUGGUUAGCUUAUCUUGUUUUUGUUGUUCAGCGCGCGCCCGCCCGCCCGCCCGUUUCUGGCGCAGCCUCGCGUUAGUUCCGUUGCGGUGUCUCUUUCUCCGUUCGUAAGGCCCGUCUUCUUCGGGCCUCUCAGUCCUUUUCUCUCUUUCAUUAUUUGUAACAGAAAAUGGCAUUUACCUAUGGAGCAACAACUAAUCGGGUUGAUGGCGUUCCUGUGCUGUCUCCUGGCGUUCCUGCGGAUGUAUGUGUGCCGAUGACUGUUACUACUGUUCCUGAUGUUGGCUUUCCUGUCCCUACUUCGGACGUUCCUGGGCCUUCGGAUGGACUUACUAAUGACGUGCUGUCUUCGUGUGAUGCGUUUCGCUCUGCUGAAGAUGAUUUACUUAAUUCGCGUGCGAAUUGUCCUGGUGCGUCUAAGACUGAAGUGUAUAAGACGAUGAAACGCGCUUGUCCUAUUGACUUCGGAUUUCCUGACGCUGCAAAGCGCGCGUCUCCGUUCCUUCGAACGAGUUGUAAUCCUAAGACAAAUUCGAGCGUCCCGUUAGUCGACUCUUCUCCUCGGGAUAAUCGUACUAUCCUUCGGUCUGAAUUUGAGCGUUUGCAGCAAUUGACCGGCAAGCAUUUUACUCUCGAUGCUUGUGCCGACAACUCUGGCAGCAAUGCGCUAUGUCCCAAAUUCAACUCUCCUAAACGAAAUUUCCUCUCCGACAGCUGUGCUGGACAACAUGUUUGGUUGCAUGCGCCAUUUAAUCAGCUUGAAGAUUUUCUGCGUCAUUACUUGCAGUGCAAAGCUAAAGCGCCGCACCUUACCUCAGGUGGUUUCCUAGUCCCUAAGUGGUUGUCUGCUCGCUGGCGUCCUUUGCUUUCAGGUAUGAAACUGUUGCAUACGUACCAACCGGGUUAUCAUUUGUUUCUCUCGCCUACCGUUUUGUCGGGAAAGCCUGUUCGAACUCAAGGGUUGCCUUGGCCUGUUGAGUUUUGGUACGAUCCUCCUGCAUCUGUUUCUCCUACCUGUGCUGUCCUUCCUGUUCCUGCGGAGCCUGUUCCCUUCUCGGUUUCUAAAGGUCUUAUCAUGCAGUUUCAAGGUUUGGUCUGCCACUCCGAUGCCACCAUCGUCAUCGAUACGGGUUGCAUGCCGGCGCACAUCCUCAACGCUGGUUUUGCCCGUCGUGUCGGUUUAUCGGUACGUCCUGCAGAUGCCUUGCCUGUUGCCAUUUCUAUGGGUGAUGGUCGACCUGCUCCUGUGACUGGGAUGGCUACCGUGCCCGUUCGCCUGCAAGGUUAUAAAGCUCUUUUGCAGUGCGCGGUUGUCGAUCUUACUCCUGGCAUUGAUUUAAUUUUAGGUGAGCCUUGGAUCGUUUCUACCGGUGCCGUGAUAGAGUUGCAUAACUCUCGCACUAGGUUGACUUCGCAUCCUGGCACGCCCGUCCUAACUUGUCCUGCUUUUUCUUCCAAGUCUCCUGAUAUUUCGCAGUGUAAUCUCAUGCAGUCAGUGCGCGAUGGCGAUGAAUUCUUCCUGUGCAUGGUUACCGCUGUCGAUCCUCCUGCGGAACCGCCUCCUCCAUCGUCUGAUACGCCACCUCCUUCUUCGCCUUUUGACGCAUUUCGUCGUCAGGUAUGGGACUCUGUUCCGGGUGAAUCUGCUGCUGAAUUGCGCUUGCGUGCGGUCCUCUUGGAGAAAGCUCACUUAUUUCCUGAGCAAUUACCGUCUAGUGUUGCGACUGUAGACCGUCGUCUUCCUGAGAUUAUUCCACUAGAACCUGGUGCUCGCCCUCCUGCGCAACGCAUGUUCCGAUACUCGGCUGCCGAGCAUGAAGAGAUGCG